rnacentral:pre_miRNA from 14 species
CAUGCAUCUGAAGAGAACUGUCUGGCCUGCUUUGGCACUAGCACAUUUUUGCUUUUGUACAUAUACUUUGAGCAAUUAUGUGUAGUGCCAAUAUAGGACUAUACAGAAUAUUCUGCAACUAGAC